rnacentral:rRNA from 1 species
UACGGAGGGUGCGAGCGUUGUCCGGAAUCACUGGGCGUAAAGAGCUCGUAGGUGGUUUGUUACGUCUGCUGUGAAAACCUAGGGCUUAACCCUGGGCCUGCAGUGGAUACGGGCAGACUAGAGGUAGGUAGGGGAGAAUGGAAUUCCCGGUGUAGCGGUGAAAUGCGCAGAUAUCGGGAGGAACACCGGUGGCGAAGGCGGUUCUCUGGGCCUUACCUGACACUGAGGAGCGAAAGCGUGGGGAGCGAACAGG